CACGCAUGCGCAUGACAGAAUCCAGAAGAGCAGCUGGCAAUGGCGCACGUGCCUACAGAGAGGGCUCUGCGUGCCACCUCUGUUUAUAGAUGCAACUUUGAAUUUUGGAGAUGUUUCUACACCUCAGUCUUGGGAAUAUAAAAUGACUUCAGGAUCUUGCAACACCUCUUUUCCCAAAGCUUGCUGAUGCAUCAGGGUGUGACUGCUACCUAUGGGAGUGAUGCUGCACAAACCACCUUCUUUAUGCAAUCCUAAAUAAAGAAAUUGCAGUAUUGUG